rnacentral:rRNA from 1 species
UACGGAAGGCAGCAGUGGGGAAUAUUGCACAAUGGGCGCAAGCCUGAUGCAGCCAUGCCGCGUGUAUGAAAAAGGCCUUCGGGUUGUAAAGUACUUUCAGUCGUGAGGAAGGUGUUAAGGUUAAUAACCUUAGCAAUUGACGUUAGCGACAGAAGAAGCACCGGCUAACUCCGUGCCAGCAGCCGCGGUAAUACGGAGGGUGCGAGCGUUAAUCGGAAUUACUGGGCGUAAAGGGCACGCAGGCGGUUAAUUAAGUUGGAUGUGAAAUCCCCGGGCUUAACCUGGGAAUGGCAUUCAAGCUGGUUAGCUAGAGUCUUGUAGAGGGGGUAGAAUUCCAUGUGUAGCGGUGAAAUGCGUAGAGAUGUGGAGGAAUACCGGUGGCGAAGGCGGCCCCUGGACAAAGGACUGACGCUCAUGUGCGAAAGCGUGGGGAGCGAAAC